GGCGAACGCUGGCGGCGUGCUUAACACAUGCAAGUCGAACGGAAAGGCCCUGCUUUUGUGGGGUGCUCGAGUGGCGAACGGGUGAGUAACACGUGAGUAACCUGCCCUUGACUUUGGGAUAACUUCAGGAAACUGGGGCUAAUACCGGAUAGGAGCUCCUGCUGCAUGGUGGGGGUUGGAAAGUUUCGGCUGUUGGGGAUGGACUCGCGGCUUAUCAGCUUGUUGGUGGGGUAGUGGCUUACCAAGGCUUUGACGGGUAGCCGGCCUGAGAGGGUGACCGGCCACAUUGGGACUGAGAUACGGCCCAGACUCCUACGGGAGGCAGCAGUGGGGAAUAUUGCACAAUGGGCGGAAGCCUGAUGCAGCAACGCCGCGUGCGGGAUGACGGCCUUCGGGUUGUAAACCGCUUUCGCCUGUGACGAAGCGUGAGUGACGGUAAUGGGUAAAGAAGCACCGGCUAACUACGUG
rnacentral:rRNA from 1 species